rnacentral:rRNA from 2 species
GUCUUAACCGGGCGUUAAGUUGCAGGGUAUAGACCCGAAACCCGGUGAUCUAGCCAUGGGCAGGUUGAAGGUUGGGUAACACUAACUGGAGGACCGAACCGACUAAUGUUGAAAAAUUAGCGGAUGACCUGUGGCUGGGGGUGAAAGGCCAAUCAAACCGGGAGAUAGCUGGUUCUCCCCGAAAGCUAUUUAGGUAGCGCCUCGUGAAUUCAUCUCCGGGGGUAGAGCACUGUUUCGGCUAGGGGGCCAUCCCGGCUUACCAACCCGAUGCAAACUGCGAAUACCGGAGAAUGUUAUCACGGGAGACACACGGCGGGUGCUAACGUCCGUCGUGAAGAGGGAAACAACCCAGACCGCCAGCUAAGGUCCCAAAGUCAUGGUUAAGUGGGAAACGAUGUGGGAAGGCCCAGACAGCCAGGAUGUUGGCUUAGAAGCAGCCAUCAUUUAAAGAAAGCGUAAUAGCUCACUGGUCGAGUCGGCCUGCGCGGAAGAUGUAACGGGGCUAAACCAUG